rnacentral:lncRNA from 1 species
CAGCUCUUCUACAGGUUCAGCUUCUUCCACUUCAACAACUUUCUCUGACAGAUAACACCACCAAUGUCAGCAACCAAGAUGAAAAUAAGCAAAACAUAGUUCAACACACAGUGAGAGACAUAGCCAAGGUACAUUUGUGACCUGAUCAAUCUUUUCAAGUAGUGUGUCUUUGUGAGCAGAUCGUCCAACUUGCCUUCAGAUCAAAAGCCUCCUACCUUGCAGCUUCUCUUCCCGACCUCCUCUUCUGCCUCUACCUUGCGGUGGGUCUGACACCAACAUAGAGAUGGGGAGUGGCACGAGGCGGAGCUGCAGGGCU